rnacentral:ncRNA from 1 species
GGUUCUUAGAUCUAGUACAUACCGCCCGUCACGCCACGGAAAUUAAUUAAGAUGGAAAUGGGGGCUAGCUGUCUAUAUUCGUAAAUUGAAUAUAGGAAAGUGGACUUGUGAAAUCGGAAUUGGUAACUGGGGCGAAGUCGUAACAUGGUAGUUGUAGGGGAACCUGCAGCUGGACUAUAUGAUAU